rnacentral:lncRNA from 1 species
CGAUAUAUAGAUUUUUGAAUUAAUACAAGCUAAUGAGAAUGUCAUCCCACUAUAUGGGUCUACAAGUUAUCUUGAAGGAAUUAUUUUGUGAAAACAUGUUCAUUUGAGCAACAUCAUAUAGCAUGCAAUUAACAAUUAAAGGCGAAUCAUGCUUGCAUGCACUCAAAACAAAACAUUACCCAUGAAAUUCAAAGCCUAGUAGAU